CAUCCUGGCUCUCUUCUUACACAUCCCAUUAAUGUAAAGUAUAUAUGUCUGCCAAGUUUCCUGUAAUGCGCUGUAUGAGUGAUGAGCGGACGGGAGCGGAGGGUAAUGGGAUUACUGCAGCUGAAUGGAAGAAAAAACUUCCCCGUGUUCCCUGCAGUCGUGGGGAGGAGGCAGCUGAUUGGUCAGAGGUGGUCGCCCCGCGCUGCGCUCCGAGGACUAAAGCUGUGCUGCCAGGUGAAGUCAGCAGACCGGGAGCAGGACAUGCGGGAUCCACACCGCCCAGGUGAGACGCCCCCCACACUACACACACCACCCAGGAUCUGAGGAGCCGAGGGCAGAAUGAUAGCAUGGGCCUCCACGUCUCCUGUCUGAAAGCGCUGCAGAUGUGUAACACCAGCGACGAAGCUUCCAGAAGAUUCCCAGACAGACACCUGAACGUCCCAGACAUCAUCAUCACCCCUCCCACCCCGACUGGGACCUUGAAUGCCAAAACAGCAGUCCAACAUGGCCGCCCGGCCUCCCCCGCGAAGAGACGCAGAUGAUGGGGGAGGGGCGUUAUCCCUCAGAGAAGGCGAUGAGAACACCAACGCCUUGUGCAGACAGCGCAGGGUGACUGCUGCGUAAUACAAACGGAUACAACUUUAUUGUCCAAGUGCCGAGACAAACAUUUUAUAUAUUUUUAUUAUAACGUUACCCCCCCCCCCCCCUCCAGGACAUCUAUAUAAGUGAUGGAGCACCCCCAUCAUCCCGUCCCUCCUCGUUACUGAGAUCUCUAGAGCGACCGGAAGAACCUGCUCUAAUGAACAAUAAAAAUGUGAAAACCGUCUGUUAAUCUCUCCCUUCUGAGAUCUGAUCCCUCUACGUUCCAGGCCCAAAGCCUGAGGCUGCACUACUGAGAGCAUCUGAUCCGGCAGCGUGGAUCCAGGUCACCGUGCACAUGCAUCUGUCCAGCCGGUGGUGAUGCUGAUCUGACAUAACCCGCCAUGUAUACGGCCACUAGGGCACACUAUAGUUGUGUGUGUCAGGAAGGCCGACCCUACAGAGAUUUCCCAGGGGCUCAUCAUGGCCGCCAGUACAUAACGAGCAGAUGCUCUCAGCAUCAAUAAUGUCAGAGUAUCAGGAGCCCUCCUGUAUGUCAGGGCCACGAUACAGCUUCAUACUGCGGGGCGGGUGGCAGUAUUGUGUGCUGCACUAUGGUAUCUGGUUCUGCAGGGGCGGUACAUAGCUCUGCACUGUGGUAUUACUGGCCCCGCCCACUUCUGUUGUCCCACCUUCUAUUAAUGUGGACCCGUCUACAACAUGAGGCCACUUUUAGAUUUUUUUUUUCAUCCCUAAGCGGCCAUGAUG